AGCGGCAGACGGGUGAGUAAUACGUAGACAACCUUCCUUUUAGAGGGGGAUAGCCUGCCGAAAGGCGGGGUAAUACCGCGUACGAUCGCAGACCGGCAUCGGUUUGCGAUGAAACAUCCGCAAGGAUGGCUAGAAGACGGGUCUACGGCCUAUCAGCUUGUUGGUGAGGUAAAAGCUCACCAAGGCUAAGACGGGUAUCCGGCCUGAAAGGGCGAACGGACACACUGACACUGGGACACGGGUCAGACACCUACGGGUGGCAGCAGUGAGGAAUCUUGGACAAUGGGGGAAACCCUGAUCCAGCGACGCCGCGUGAAGGAUGAAGGUCUUCGGAUUGUAAACUUCUUUUCUUUGGGAAUAAGAACCUUGUAGAAAUACAGGGAGUGAAGGUACCAGAGGAAUAAGCCACGGCUAACUUCGUGCCAGCAGCCGCGGUAAUACGAAGGUGGCAAGCGUUACUCGGAAUUACUAGGCGUAAAGGGCAGGUAGGCGGUUUGAUAAGUCUGUUGUGUCAGCUCUCAGCUUAACUGGGAGAGGUCAACGGAAACUAUCAGACUUGAGUGUGGGAGAGGGUACUGGAAUUCCUGGUGUAGCGGUGAAAUGCGCAGAGAUCAGGAGGAACACCUAUGGCGAAAGCAAGUACCUGGACCAAUACUGACGCUCAGCUGCGAAAGCUAGGGGAGCAAACAGGAUUAGAUACCCUGGUAGUCCUAGCUGUAAACGAUGCACAUUAGACGUGGGGGGUAUCGACCCCCU
rnacentral:rRNA from 1 species